rnacentral:snoRNA from 1 species
AAUCUCCCAAUCUGCGCGAUUGCACUUGUGUGCCGUAGUGUAAUCGUCGUAACUGGGGAGAGAGAGCAACCUGAGCUUUGGGUUCCUCAGGGAGACCCUCCCUGGUCUCCCUGAUCCUUUCAAAAUUCCACAUUU